rnacentral:lncRNA from 1 species
UUUGCAAUUUAACACCAUAGUCCCCUAAAUGGCCAUCUAAUUCCUCUCCCUUUUUCUGCCUUGUAACCCUUUCCAUUUAUUCCCAUAUCUCUCCAUCCGUUCUCUCCCUCAAACACCUAUCACUUAUUCAAAAUUUCGUUUCUAAAUCAUUGCAAACAAAGCCUACAUUUUGUUGUUUCCUCCCCUUGACUCACCCUCAAAAAAGGCCCUAAUUUCUCAUCUAUUUUCCAUCUCCAAUGUUCAUUCAUACUUUUCCAUUUUUUAUUU